UAUAAUGAGUAAUUAACGAGAUUUUCUAAUCAGUAUCAUAAAGAUGAUAAGAUAAUAGAUUCCCACCACACACACACAUAUACAUUUUCGCAUUAAAUUGCAACACCUUAAUACUUCUGCAAUGGCUUUUUACAAAUUAAGCUGGUUCCUUUGUGUUAUAUCCUUACCCUUUAUACUAUCAUCAUUUAACGAAACAGACAAUCCGGAGGUUCAGAAACUAUUGUUAGAUCUGCUAGAUUACACUGGACUAAGCAAUUUAACACCAAAUCAUACCAUCCAAGGAAUCGAAUGUAGUGAUCUAGAAGAACCUUUGACGGAAUGUACCAUUAAUUCCAAUGGAACUAUAGUUUGGGAUGUUCGAUAUGAAAUGUACAGCCAGAAUAUGUAUUACUAUGCAAACAAUAGUAUUACUUUGGAUGGCUGUCAAACACUGCUACCAGGAAAUGCCUCACAAACUGCCUAUGAUGAAUGUAUGAAAAUAGUUCGAGAAAAUAUGAGCAGUUUUCUGAAAACUUUUGAUGACAGAUUUAAAGAGAUUUUGCAAUCAAAUUGCAGCGGUUUGGCACCAGAUAACUGUGUGGAAUUAUUAAAGUAAUGUGCAUGAUUUUAAUUAAUCUUAUCAUGAAGAACCAGUGUUUCAGUGUGUGUAUAAUUUCAGUUUUUGUAUUUAAUACUGAUUAUAAGUCAAUUAUGGAUAACUAACAAA